UUCUCGAUUGUUCUGGUCCAUCUCUAUUUUUGUGAUGGACCAAUACAACCGCGAACC
rnacentral:pre_miRNA from 1 species